rnacentral:lncRNA from 1 species
UUGGAUUUAUAUCAAACAUGUUCAGAACAUCAGAUUUAGAACAUGUUCAGAACAUGUAGAUCGGAUACACAGAUAGAAUGUGUGCUAGCUAGAUCGAUGGCCAAUAAAGUCAAGAACUGAUAUAAAAAAUACAGCCCAACUUUAAUCGAUUCACUGGAUGGAUGGUGUUGUAGGAUUACUUGGGUGGUGCAUUUUCAAGAUUUGUUCCUGGAAUGGUGCUGUCAGUUUGACUUUUUUCGAUCACUUCUCAUUAUGUAGGGUUACAUACUUACAUGUCGGCCAGAAAUGUUUAAGAAAGCAUUUGGG